GAGGAGGAAAUCGCAGCGGCGAAUUCUCGAACUAAUAAACUGGAAAGGAUAAAAGUUCUUCCUUGAAGAAAAUAUCCACAGCUGUCAAGACUGCACACUACUCCCAACUCCAGCUGCCAACUGGUCCUCCUGUACUGGCCCGCACAAGAGAUUUACAAAGAAGGCACAGACAAAGAACACAGGGAAUCCAUCCUGAACCUGCCAGCGAGGUGGUGGUGGUGCGAAAGCCCAAAACUGUGGUGAAAAGAUGUUUGCACUCCACGCUUUACAGAGCUUUCACAGGUAUAACCUUUGGGUUAAUGUUUUUAUGUCCAUGUUUCC